rnacentral:SRP_RNA from 1 species
UGUGCUAGCCGGGGCGGUAGUGGUGCCCUGUACUCUCAAUCCACUAUAGUGAGGGUGAUGCCUACUCUAGGCUUUUCAGGUUAGAGUCUGCCCUUUUAAGAUGGCGUUGAAGACUGAGUCUUGUGCAACAGCAACCUGUGAACCGUGUCAGGUCCGGAAGGAAGCAGCACUAAACAGCCCCUGUUGUGUGCCGCAAGGUCGCUUAGUCUGAGUUGUCGAGACUGGUAACGUCUGGUUUGGACUGUCGAAAGUAGGUGCAC